rnacentral:rRNA from 1 species
AGAGUUUGAUCCUGGCUCAGGAUGAACGCUGGCGGCGUGCCUAAUACAUGCAAGUCGAGCGAACGGACGAGAAGCUUGCUUCUCUGAUGUUAGCGGCGGACGGGUGAGUAACACGUGGAUAACCUACCUAUAAGACUGGGAUAACUUCGGGAAACCGGAGCUAAUACCGGAUAAUAUUUUGAACCGCAUGGUUCAAAAGUGAAAGACGGUCUUGCUGUCACUUAUAGAUGGAUCCGCGCUGCAUUAGCUAGUUGGUAAGGUAACGGCUUACCAAGGCAACGAUGCAUAGCCGACCUGAGAGGGUGAUCGGCCACACUGGAACUGAGACACGGUCCAGACUCCUACGGGAGGCAGCAGUAGGGAAUCUUCCGCAAUGGGCGAAAGCCUGACGGAGCAACGCCGCGUGAGUGAUGAAGGUCUUCGGAUCGUAAAACUCUGUUAUUAGGGAAGAACAUAUGUGUAAGUAACUGUGCACAUCUUGACGGUACCUAAUCAGAAAGCCACGGCUAACUACGUGCCAGCAGCCGCGGUAAUACGUAGGUGGCAAGCGUUAUCCGGAAUUAUUGGGCGUAAAGCGCGCGUAGGCGGUUUUUUAAGUCUGAUGUGAAAGCCCACGGCUCAACCGUGGAGGGUCAUUGGAAACUGGAAAACUUGAGUGCAGAAGAGGAAAGUGGAAUUCCAUGUGUAGCGGUGAAAUGCGCAGAGAUAUGGAGGAACACCAGUGGCGAAGGCGACUUUCUGGUCUGUAACUGACGCUGAUGUGCGAAAGCGUGGGGAUCAAACAGGAUUAGAUACCCUGGUAGUCCACGCCGUAAACGAUGAGUGCUAAGUGUUAGGGGGUUUCCGCCCCUUAGUGCUGCAGCUAACGCAUUAAGCACUCCGCCUGGGGAGUACGACCGCAAGGUUGAAACUCAAAGGAAUUGACGGGGACCCGCACAAGCGGUGGAGCAUGUGGUUUAAUUCGAAGCAACGCGAAGAACCUUACCAAAUCUUGACAUCCUUUGACAACUCUAGAGAUAGAGCCUUCCCCUUCGGGGGACAAAGUGACAGGUGGUGCAUGGUUGUCGUCAGCUCGUGUCUUGAGAUGUUGGGUUAAGUCCCGCAACGAGCGCAACCCUUAAGCUUAGUUGCCAUCAUUAAGUUGGGCACUCUAAGUUGACUGCCGGUGACAAACCGGAGGAAGGUGGGGAUGACGUCAAAUCAUCAUGCCCCUUAUGAUUUGGGCUACACACGUGCUACAAUGGACAAUACAAAGGGCAGCGAAACCGCGAGGUCAAGCAAAUCCCAUAAAGUUGUUCUCAGUUCGGAUUGUAGUCUGCAACUCGACUACAUGAAGCUGGAAUCGCUAGUAAUCGUAGAUCAGCAUGCUACGGUGAAUACGUUCCCGGGUCUUGUACACACCGCCCGUCACACCACGAGAGUUUGUAACACCCGAAGCCGGUGGAGUAACCUUUUAGGAGCUAGCCGUCGAAGGUGGGACAAAUGAUUGGGGUGAAGUCGUAACAAGGUAGCCGUAUCGGAAGGUGCGGCUGGAUCACCU